CAGUGGGGAAUUUUGCGCAAUGGGCGAAAGCCUGACGCAGCAACGCCGCGUGGAGGAUGAAGGUCUUCGGAUCGUAAACUCCUGUCAGUGGGGACGAAUGCCUCGCAAGAGGUUUGACUGUACCCGCUGAGGAAGCCACGGCUAACUCCGUGCCAGCAGCCGCGGUAAUACGGAGGUGGCAAGCGUUGUUCGGAAUUACUGGGCGUAAAGGGCGCGUAGGCGGCUUGGCAAGUCAGAUGUGAAAGCCCCGGGCUUAACUCGGGAAUUGCAUCUGAAACUGCUUUGCUUGAGUCCUGGAUGGGAUAGUGGAAUUCCCAGUGUAGCGGUGAAAUGCGUAGAUAUUGGGAGGAACACCUGCGGCGAAGGCGGCUAUCUGGACAGUGACUGACGCUGAGGCGCGAAAGCUAGGGGAGCGAACGGGAUUAGA
rnacentral:rRNA from 1 species